GCCACGCCCCCAGCCCAGCUCUCCCUUGAUGCCCGCGGACGGGCCAUCCCUCCAACUCAAGCCACGCCCCCGACCGGCCCUGACCACGCCCCCAGCGCGGGUCUCUGUCCACUCAGGCCACGGCCCCGACCAGGCUCUCCCUCCACCACCCUCUAAGGCCACGCCCCCCCCCCCGGGGCCCCCCCCCCCCCCCCCCGCUAAGGCUGCCGUUGCCUACAGCCCGGCUGUCCCCACCAUCCUCCCGGCCAUUCCCAACCCCCCAACAGCAUCCCCCAUCCCCCAUCAGGAUCAUCCCCCACCCCUGCUUCGGCCCUCCUACACUUCUCCCCCACCCCAGCUUUUCUUCCUCUCAGCUACACCCCCAGCCCGGCUCCUUUCCUACCACCCCCAGCGACGCCCCCAUAUCACUACCCCAGCCCCCCCAGCCUCGCCCAGGGCGGGAGGAGCCGCCGCGUCGCCGGGGCAACCGCCCCCCCACUCCCGUCCACUCGCCCCACCUCUGCCUGGGCGUGGAGCAAAGGCACCGUGGCUGCGCGCAUUUCCGAGCAAGGGAAACACUAGCCUCUGCUGGGUCUUGUGACAGAUGAUGGCGUUUUGAACCCCUGUGAGAUAAGUGACCUAGAUUCAAAUCGUGGUCUCAGCGGCUUCUGGAUGAGCCCAACCUAAGAAGCAGUUUGUAAUCAGUCAAAGCCUGGGAACGGACUGCCAGCUGUCUCAGCAGCAAAAGGCCCCUGGUUGACGAUGAAUCUACUAACAGGAUACUGAGAAGGGCGCAGUACCUUCUGUGGCAUUUCUGCCCAAAAUGCAUACCCUCCGCCUAACGUGAGGAAACAUCAGAGAAAUCCAAAUUGAGGGGAUAACUGGCUGGUGCCCUUUGAGAGUGUCAAGGUCAUGAAAGACACAGAAAGACUGAAGAAGGGGAAUGGUCUGGAGCAAACACUUUAGUUUGACAACUGAGUGUAAUGCGGGGUGUUGGACUGGAUCCUCGACCAGAAAGAGGACGUGAGUGGGAAAAAUGGUAAAUUCUGAAUAAAGCCUGCAGGUUAGUAAAAAUAGUGUUGAAUCAAUGUCAAUAUCCUGGUUUGGGUCAUCGUGCUGUAGCUGUGUUAGACGUUAACAUUAGGGAAGCUGUUGAAGGAUACACAGGAACUCUGUACUAUUUUUACCACGUCUUUUUCAGUGUAAAAUUAGUUUAACAUAAAGGUUAAAAAAAGCAUCCCCUACAAAU